rnacentral:rRNA from 1 species
AAUUGAGAGUUUGAUCCUGGCUCAGGACGAACGCUGGCGGUGUGCUUAACACAUGCAAGUCAACGAGAAUUUUAUCUUCGGAUAAAUAAUAAAGUGGCGAACGGGUGAGUAACGCGUAAAUAACUUGCCUUGGAGAUUGGGACAACAUUGGGAAACCAGUGCUAAUACCAAAUAAUGCAAUAAGUUCUUCGGGACAUAUUGUUAAAGUAGGCUUCGGCUUACACUUCAAGAUAGAUUUGCGUCCGAUUAGUUAGUUGGUAGGGUAAUAGCCUACCAAGACCGAGAUCGGUAGCUGGUCUGAGAGGAUGAUCAGCCACACUGGAAUUGAGAUACGGUCCAGACUCCUACGGGAGGCAGCAGUGAGGAAUUUUGCACAAUGGGCGAAAGCCUGAUGCAGCAACACCGCGUGAUUGAUGAAGUUUUUAGGAAUGUAAAAAUCUGUCGUAAGUGAAGAAAUGUUUCGGAUGUUAAUACCAUCUGUCAUUGACGGUAACUUACAAGAAAGGACCGGCUAACUUCGUGCCAGCAGCCGCGGUAAUACGAGGGGUCCUAGCGUUGUCCGGAUUUACUGGGCGUAAAGGGUACGUAGGCGUUUUAAUAAGUUAUAUGUUAAAUAUCUUGGCUUAACCAAGAAAGUGCAUAUAAAACUGUUAAAAUAGAGUUUGAGAGAGGAACGCAGA